GCGGAAAGCGCGCGCCAGCUGCACGCAGGGAAACAGUUCUCAUUUUGUGUGCUCGGCUGACUACACGUCCAGCCUCGGGCCAGCUCGAGACGGCCACAUUGCCUGGUUGAAGAUGGCCGCGUGUAAACCAGAAUGCAAGUCAGCUGGGGCACGUACUACUGGAGGCAGAGCCCCAUGAGAAGGGGCCAAGAACCCGCACCCAUCAAAAUCAAGAAGAAAGGCUGAACCCGGAGAGAAAAGGGAGCAACUGAUGUUGCCAUGCAGAUCCCUUGGUUGCUAUGAGAUGGUAACAUCACUCUGCCCCACCAUUGGCCAGUGCCUCCUCAGCUGCGGUGCCUCCCAGGCUGUGUGGUUCUCACGCGGGCCGCUGACACAGAGCUGUUACUAUGGUGAACUUUACAAUUUCCUUUGAUUGGUGGAUUUCAGAAAUAGGCCAUCAGCGGAAUUCAUUAUAUUCAGCUAACCUGGCUCAGCUUCUCAUAGGUGGAUUGGUGAGUCCUGGCCAAUUAUGCUUCAGCUCAUCUCUACUCGCGGCAAAUAGGAAAAAGAGAGUGAAGGACUGAGUUUUAACCCUUCUAGUUUCGUAACCUGACUCU
rnacentral:antisense_RNA from 1 species